UACGUAGGAUGCAAGCGUUGUCCGGAAUUAUUGGGCGUAAAGAGCGCGCAGGCGGUAUGACAAGUCAGAUGUGAAAGAGGCCGGCUUAACCGGCAAGGGUCAUUUGAAACUGUCAGACUAGAGUGCAGCAGAGGAUAGUGGAAUUCCCGGUGUAGUGGUGAAAUGCGUAGAUAUCGGGAGGAACACCAGUGGCGAAGGCGACUAUCUGGCCCAACAUUGACGCUGAGACCCGAAAGCGUGGGGAUCAAACAGG
rnacentral:rRNA from 1 species